ensembl:lncRNA
GUUAAAACACAGCCGUUUGGGCAUUUUAACACCGCUUGUGUCAUUUUGUGGGGCUUUGCGUACACUGGAGAGUCUAUUGUAAACAACCGUUACGUGCGGUCUGGCUCGUUACACUGCCUAGUCCCAGGAGCUGUGUGUCCGACGGCAGUGAGGCUUUCCUUCACCGUGUGCUGUGUUAUGCUGUGUGAGCACCACUGAUAAAAUCACGGGAGCUGUGUGUCCGACGGCAGUGAGGCUUUCCUUCACCGUGUGCUGUGUUAUGCUGUGUGAGCACCACUGAUAAAAUCACGGGUAUUGGAGUGAGUGUGUGUGUGUGUGUGUGCACUUAGUGUGAUUCUCCUCUUUUGCUCCCUCUCUUAGCCCAUUUGAUGCCAAUAGGCUACAGCUCCGAAGUAAAUGUGAAUCCUUAUUGUGGAUUGUGAUUUCCAGCUUAGUAAUUGGCUGGGUGACUAUUAUUCCUGCAUUUUAAACUUUUGUACUAAUAAACAAACUCUAUUUUGCUACCCACGUCUCUUGCUCAUUUUAUUCAGUGGAAUGAACCUGGGUUCCUUAUAACAUUUUAAGUGAACUGUGAU